AAAAGCUUAGUUAAAAUAUAACAUUAACUUGUCAAGCUAAAAUUAUCAUUUAUGAUAGCUUUUA
rnacentral:tRNA from 1 species